GAUGAACGCUAGCUACAGGCUUAACACAUGCAAGUCGAGGGGAAACGACAUCGAAAGCUUGCUUUUGAUGGGCGUCGACCGGCGCACGGGUGAGUAACGCGUAUCCAACCUGCCCAUCACUUGGGAAUAACCUUGCGAAAGUAAGACUAAUGCCCAAUGAUAUCCCACGAAGGCAUCCGAAUGGGAUUAAAGAUUUAUCGGUGAUGGAUGGGGAUGCGUCUGAUUAGCUUGUUGGCGGGGUAACGGCCCACCAGGGCGACGAUCAGUAGGGGGUCCGCGAGGAAGGUCCCCCACCAUGGAACGGAUACACGGUCCAAACUCCUACGGGAGGCAGCAGUGAGGAAGAUUGGUCAAUGGGCGAGAGCCUGAACCAGCCAAGUAGCGUGCAGGAUGACGGCCCUAUGGGUUGUAAACUGCUUUUAUAAGGGAAUAAAGUGAGUCUCGUGAGACUUUUUGCAUGUACCUUAUGAAUAAGGACCGGCUAAUUCCGUGCCAGCCGCCGCCGUAA
rnacentral:rRNA from 1 species